GCGUUUAGUAGAUGUUCAAGUCUAACAGAGUAUUGAUAUAUCUUUCUAUAUUACAAAGUUGCCUUUUCUAUAUAUAAGACAUACAAGUCUGAUUAAAUUUGUAGUUGCUUUGUCUGUGUGAGUUUAAUUGCUCUUCAAGCCAAAGGAUAGUUACAUAUUGCAAGAAAAAUCGCUUAUGAAAAUGAACGGAAUAACUAAACAAUUAUCUAUGACCAAUUUACGAAGGCGCCUCCAUCUAAAAAAAACAGAUACCAAUAAUGGAGAGGUUGAGACAGAAGAGGACAAUUUGCUGGAAGGUGAGGAGCCGGUCUCCAAAUCUUUUCAACUCGAAGAAAACCCCAAGAAACAAAACGGAUCUCCCUCAUUAGCGCAAGUUCCAUCAUCCAUUAUUACACUUACAGACGCCGAAAGAAAGAGAUUAGAGGAUGUACUACUACAAAUUGGUCUCAAAGAGUGUGGACUUUAAUCUAAUAAAUACUACUGUUAAAACAAACAAAAAUGAUACAUACUUUUCAACUCACUUCUCAUUCAUUCACUCCACCUCUUUCACUCUCUUCAUCAUUUGACAAAUAAAUCUAUGUAGAUGUUUGACUGUCUGUCUGUGUGAUACUAAGACUUUUUUACUUACUUAUACAUAAUUUUUGUAAUGAUGUCAAAGAAAAUGAAUGAUGUUUUAAAAUGUUGAGAGUAGAUUUCAUGUGGAAGAAUCGCCCUCUUUGAAUGGUUUCAAAUAGCGAAAACAAAUAUUACUGUACUGAGUGUUAUUCCCUAUUUUUUGUAAGAUUAAAUUAGAAAUGAUAACCCCUGUAUUAUUAUUUGAAAGAUAAACUGUGUUUAUUUAGUUUUUAGAAUUACCAUGAUACAUUUAUGAUGAAAAAGAUAAAUAUAUUUAAUUGUCAUGA
rnacentral:lncRNA from 1 species